ensembl:lncRNA
GUCUUACUGCUCCCCGCCCCCACUUCAGAUGCCAGUGGAAAGCCCAGUUUGUUACUUGUGCUUCUGAGCUACCAGCUGUAGAUCGGGAGUUCCAAUGACUCUCUCCCUGGGUUCAAUUAACUUGUUAGCUUUUACAUGGAACAUUUAGAUACUUAUGUUUAAUGUAUUACUAAUUACUGAAAUGUUUUAAUUGCUAAGUUGUGUCCGACUCUUUUGCAACCCCACGGACUGUAGCCUGCCAUGCUCCUCUGUCCAGAAAUACCUGCUACAGAGUAGGCUGUGGGAUAAUUGGACUUUUAUCUUCUCCAGCCUGUUUCAGUAUUGGUACUAACAUUCCUGUUAGAAAGAAAAGCUAUGGCAAACCUCAACAGCAUAUUAUAAAGCGAGCCAUUACUUUGCUGACAAAGUGUCUGUUUUUGAACAUACACAAAAGUAGAAGCUGUUCUGAUCGCCUAGCUUCAGUGAUUAUCAGUUGUGACCAACUGUCUCUACACCUCUCCUUAACUUCCCUCCCAGAUGAUUUAAACUCCAG